AUUAAGAGGAAAGAUUUGACUGCUUGCAACCUCUUUCUGAAAUAUAUAUUUCAGAAAAAAAAUUCUAAAUCACC
rnacentral:ncRNA from 1 species